rnacentral:rRNA from 1 species
GACGAACGCUGGCGGCGUGCUUAACACAUGCAAGUCGAACGGAAAGGCCCCUUUGGGGGUACUCGAGUGGCGAACGGGGGAGUAACACGUGAGUAAACUGCCCUUGACUUCGGGAUAACUUCAGGAAACUGGGGCUAAUACCGGUUAGGAAUCAUUGCUGCAUGGGGGGGGUUGGAAAGCUUCGGCGGCUUUGGGUGAACUCGCGGCUUAUCAGCUUGUUGGUGAGGUAGUGGCUUACCGAGGCUUUGACGUGUAGCCGGACAGAGAGGGCGAGCGGCCGUCCUGGCUCUGAGGGACGGCCCAGACUCCUACGGGAGGCAGCUGUGGGGAAGCUUGCACCAUGGGCGGCGGCCUGAUGCAGCAAGGCUUCGUGCUGUAUGACGGCCUUCGUGUUGUAAACCGCUUUCAGCAGGGGCGAAGCUUGUGGUGACGGUACCUGCAGAAGAAGCACCGGCUAACUACGUG